rnacentral:rRNA from 1 species
GACGAACGCUGGCGGCGUGCUUAACACAUGCAAGUCGAACGGAAAGGCCUCUUUCGGGGGGUACUCGAGUGGCGAACGGGUGAGUAACACGUGAGUAACCUGCCCUUGACUUUGGGAUAACUUCAGGAAACUGGGGCUAAUACCGGAUAGGAGCUCCUGCUGCAUGGUGGGGGUUGGAAAGUUUCGGCGGUUGGGGAUGGACUCGCGGCUUAUCAGCUUGUUGGUGGGGUAGUGGCUUACCAAGGCUUUGACGGGUAGCCGGCCUGAGAGGGUGACCGGCCCCAAUGGGACUGAGAUACGGCCCAGACUCCUACGGGAGGCAGCAGUGGGGAAUAUUGCACAAUGGGUGGAAGCCUGAUGCAGCAACGCCGGGUGCGGGAUGACGGGCUUCGGGUUGUAAACCGCUUUCGCUCAUGACGAAGCUUUGUGUGACGGUAGUGGGUAAAGAAGCACCGGCUAACUACGUG